rnacentral:tRNA from 5 species
GGGGCCUUAGCUCAGCUGGCAGAGCGCCUGCUUUGCAAGCAGGAAGUCAGGGGUUCGAAUCCCCUAGGCUCCACC